CAAAAGAGCGAGUUAGUGACCAAUAGAGACGUCAGGGAGAGUCUGAGCUCAACAAACACCAGGACGAGUAUUUCUUCCGCCCAGGGGGGUGGGGGUGAGGCCGAAGGCUGGGACUCCAAGCCCAGGCAGCGCCCCGCCCCCCCCCCCAAAGCAUCACCAUCUCGAUCAUCCCAACCAUUCCCAGCCCGGGGAAGAGGGUCCUGCGCCCCAGACCUCCCUCAGGAGAAGGGAUCACUAAAGAGCCACUCCACAGUGCCAAGGAGCACAACAUUAAUCUGCACAGUGCCAUCAAGCACAGGGUCAAAGAGACCAACCAAUUCAGAGACACGAUCUUGAUUCAUUCAAUAAGCAGUUACCGAGUGUCUUCUUUAUACCAGGAGCUCAAGAAACAAGGGGGGAAACAAUAGUUCUUCCCCUCCAGGAGCUUAUGUUUUAUUGGAAUCAAAUCCAAUCCUACCUAUUGAAUUCAAAUUUACCAAACAUUUUGUACCCCCAAUAUCUGCAAGACACUGUGCUAAAGACUAGGGGAAAUAUAGGGAUAUGAUUAUGAAGGUAGAAUUCCUGUUCUUGAGUUUGUAGUCUCUAGUGGAAUGUGGUGGGGAGGCAGGUAUAACAUGGGCACAGACAAAUAUAAUGAAAGACAGAGAGUAAUGCAGACAAAAAAAAAGAGAUUUUAGGGGCAUCUGGUUGAAGGAACUAGGCAUGUUUAGCUUAGAGAAGAAAAGAUUUAGGGGUGUUUAUAUAGUGGUCUUCAGGGGCAGCAUAUAAUAGAGAGAGCCUUUGGGGUCUGAGUCCAAAACCCCUCUAGACUGUGUAUCAUGAAUUGAGAUCAGAAAAAGGAAUCCAACAGGCCAUCAAAGAACUUCCUAAGAAAAAAUCCCCAGGGCCUGAUGGAUUCACAAGUGAAUUCUAUCAAACAUUCAAAGAACAGCUAAUCCCAAUACUAUACAAACCAUUUGACAUUAUAAGCAAAGAGGGAGUUCUACCAA
rnacentral:lncRNA from 1 species